CAGUAGCCGCGGUAAUACGGAGGGAGCUAGCGUUGUUCGGAAUUACUGGGCGUAAAGCGCACGUAGGCGGUUAUUCAAGUCAGAGGUGAAAGCCCGGGGCUCAACCCCGGAACUGCCUUUGAAACUAGAUGACUAGAAUCUUGGAGAGGUCAGUGGAAUUCCGAGUGUAGAGGUGAAAUUCGUAGAUAUUCGGAAGAACACCAGUGGCGAAGGCGACUGACUGGACAAGUAUUGACGCUGAGGCGCGAAAGCGUGGGGAGCAAACAGGAUUAGAUACCCCUGUAGUCCCUGUCUCUUAUAC
rnacentral:rRNA from 1 species